ensembl:lncRNA
CAGCUGUGUUGGGGACCUUCUCCAGAAACGUGGGUUACAGGCGUCUCCUAGCGGCGAAAGCAGCAUAUGGCAAGCGAGAUUUUUGUUGUGGAGCCCGUUUUUUUGUUAGGGCUUGCCUGUUGGGGGCUCUGCUGGAUUUCGCGGGUCACAGAGGCUGGAGUCCAGGCCAGCAAAGCAAAGGCAGGCUUCUCCAGAGGUCUGACCUCACUGACUUUUAGUCUCUGAGGCGCCAGUCCCUGGACUGUAGGGGUGACAGUAGAGUCUUCACAGCCAAAUAAAAGCGAUCCAGGGCCUCUGCUUUCCCUGAGGAAACUCCAUCGAAGGAAGAUUGCAAGAGCAGUUUUUUCGCAGUCAACAUUUGCAGAUACUCUGGAAAAUAGGAAGAGAACCCAACCCAACCCAAACUGAAAGUACCAAAAUAUGUGAAAUCCGUACAGCAAAGAUGAUGAGCUUUCUGGGAGGAGAUACUGAAAGAAGAGUAAUUCUGUCCAGGGGGUCACUUCGAGAUCAUCCCUCUCACCUGAUGCUACUGACCUUGGAGAUUAAGGAGAUGUUGAAAGCAGCACUGCAGUCUCAUAAUUUUGGAAGUCUCCCUUGAAAGUCUUUCCACCUAAUCCCAGCUCUUUGUGAACACAAGAGGAUGGGAGAACAUUCCUCACAGGAUACUAUUAACACUGGGAAAAAUGAUACUCAAAAAGAGGAAGUGAUUUUCUUCAGAAAAUAUACAGACUCAAGAAGUUUCAAAGACUACUGGAGACAUGUGUCUCGAGAAGGCUUGCCGACCUUCCCCAUAAAAUGCAUAAGUGAAAUAAUACGAUCCAGGUAAAGAGAUGAGAAUUCUUUGGCAUUCUGUAUGAUCUUUCAUAGUUGUUCUUGGCAUUUGGAUACUUUGUUUCAUCAUCUGAAAAUAAUGUGUCCUUUUAAAAUAAUUGUCAAGGAAAUUAUAUAAAAUAACAUGUAUGACACAAUGAGGAAUAAGCUUUGAAUUAGUUUUAUUCCUUCAUUUUUCAGGAAUCAUAACUUUGCGUGUUCCAGGGAUCUGCAAUUUGUAGAAUUCCACAUUUUAUCUUUCAACUAAAUCAUUUAUUAUACUUGUACCACCUUCUUCUUUUUCUAUCCAUAAAAUGUUGUUAGUACUCACCUUCAUAGUGAAGAACUACAAAGUCGGGACUUUGGUGUUGAAAGGAAGUUACAUUCAUGUAUUCGUAGUUUGGCUUGAUUUAUUUGUUUUUAUUUCCAUUUCCUUACAUUUCUGAGACCAAAUAACUAUGAAGUGUGUUUCUAAGAUUAUAAUUAUGCAUUAUCAUUCAUUUGAAAAGAGCUAUUUCAUGGUAACUAAAGCAUUUGAACCCAUAAAAUAUUCAAAUUCCUUAUACAGGUUGUAGAUGAAAUUAUAAGAGAAAAUGCCCUUUAGGUGACCCUCUGCAAUCCAGCCUGAGAGCUUCCUAGAGGAUUUGCAGCUAUUCUGUGACUACUAGUAUGUGCUGAAAUCGCCCCAUUCUGAGAAGGCCCAUGCUCAUGCCAAGUGAGCUAACAUAACUUGACCAGCUGAGCUAGUCAAAGUACUUAAUAGACUCAUCUAAGAGCUCUACAAGAGUGGCUUUUUGCAUACAACAACAGGGCCUGCAGCUGUCAGGUUUCUUCAGCUGUCAUCAGCAGGCAUCACUGACAUCAACUAGAAUUACCAUUGAGGAACUGAAAUGUAGACACCGGCAUUGCUCUGCCCUUACACAAGCAGCUGCCUGAAGGGAGUGUAAGACUGAGCUCUCAAGACUAAAAUGACUUCUUCAAAUCUACAAGGAAGAAUUUUUAUUUACAUACUCAGUUUCACCUUCAUCAAAAUGCUUUCUUUUGUAAGUUUCUUUGGUUACAAUGUCUUAUCACAGUGAUAGAAAAGAAACUAAGACACUUAUCAAAUAAUAAGUAUUUCAAAAUGUGCUUGAAUAAUAAGAUGUUAAUGAUUAUUAAUGUCAGUGAUUAUGUAAUUCAUUGUUUUAAUUGAGAACCUUUAGUUAUUGUCUAUUAAUUUUGGAACAUUAAUUUAUAAACGUUAUUAUUAUUUUUGAGGUUUGUGUUCUAUACUGAAUUUUCUUGAAGUAACAAAAAGGUUAGUAGAAAACAUAUAUUUUCUUUUUUCCUGAACUUAAAAUAAUUAUUAGAAUAUAUUCAGAAAUACAUGAAAUAUGAGAGAAUUUUUGAAAAUGAUAUGAAAUUAAGGAUAUGUAGUUUGAAACUAAUGAAAGUAAUUUCAGAGUUUCUUUAAGCCAACUCUGAUUUCAUUUUUUAGCAUAAAAUGGUAUACUAUUACUGUCAAAAGUAAUUAAUACCAACACAGUUGUUUGGAGGGAAACUUUUUCUUAUACAUUGUAUUGAUGUAGUUUUAUCCUGACAAAAAGGAAAAUUCCACCCCUGGUAAUUACAAAGUAAGAAAAUUAUUACUUGAGUUGUAGAAAACAUGAUUUUAUGUUUAUGACUCUAUGAUAUCAAAUGAAUUUGCAGCAUCAAUGCUAUAAUUUGGUUCAAAUGGAUUUGCUUAUAUUUAUGGAAGCAAUAAUUUAUAUAGACAUUGUACAUAGCUGGAUCUGGAAAAAACUGAAAUUAAGUAUUUCAUUAAUGUAGCUAGCUUGUUAACCUGCUGUAAGUUAAUUUUUAUAUGCAUUAUCCAUUCUAAGUUGAAAGUUGAUUAUUUUUAUGAUGCUGACUAUGAAACACAAAUCACUGGUAAUAUAGUCAAAGGGCUCACCAUUCUGCCCCUUAACAAUGCAGGGUUUAAAUAGCAAAUCACACAUCAUGUAUCAAUGUGACUGACAUGGUUUUCUCACCGAAGGAAAGUUCAGAGCAGAUGUGGGACAUUUGCCCUUACUUCAGACUUGCUUCAGAAGUAAAGCCAUCUGUUUCUCUCUCCUUCCCUCUUUCCCCAUUCCCUCAUCUCUAUCUCUAUUUGUCUUUCCUCACUCCACAACUCUUACCCUCCAUGUCUUGCUCUCUGUAAAGACCAGGGGCUAAAACAGAGAUGUGGAAAAUUGGUUUUCUGAGAAGGGAAGAGUUGAGCGAGAAACAGAAUCUGCUGAAGGCACCAAAAUUGUGACAAGAAGGCUUUCUUGACUCCUCAUCUAAAUGAGAGUGAAGUGAUACUUACUCCGUGUAUACUGGCCAUAUGCUGGUGAUUCUGAAAACCAAUCCAUGGGAGCAUGGUCUGUGAACAACUACAAGUCACAGAUGAGGCUCCUAGAUGUUUUAUUGUUGUUGAUCACCCUGGUGAUUCAAUGACUUUGACACAACGUUUAUUGUGCUUUGAGUAAUUGAUGUUUUGCACUAAAACACAUUCUUAACAAUAAGUAGCUUACCUGUUCUGGAUUUCAUUUUUUGGUGAUUUUUCUUUUAAAUCAACCUACAAAGUCUGAGCAACAGUGAACUGUGGGUAGGAGAAUGACUGGCACACUUUAAAGAAGUUUAGUUAAACCUGACAUUGGCUUAUGCAUAUCUGGACAAGAACAAUACAUCUUCAGAAUGGGCAUUUACAGUCAACCACUGUUACCAUUAUGAAGAAAAACAUAACAAAACUGGGAUUUGUAGUGCCUGGAGGAAGCCAUUCUAUUUCCUUUCCUAUUCUGAGUUUUACAAGUAAACAUACUGAAGAAGAAAAGUGGGUGUGUGUGUGUGGGGGGAGCAGCUUGCCUGUGGAAGAGUUGUAAAUAAAUCUAGGUCUCUGAAAAAGAACAUGCAAACCAUCUUUUAAAUAUCUAUUCUGAUGCCAACAUACAGAAGCUGCUCUUAGACUUAAUCAUAGAAGUGGGUUUUUUUUUAUUAUUGCUGUUUGUUUUUUUUAAAAAACAUAAAAUCAAUUGUUACAAUGAACCAAUGAACGUUUUAAACAAAAAGAGCCUCAAAGGUGCUCAAGAAUAAAUGAUGUUUAGGGGCUCAGCUCUAAACAAAACAUUUUUACCUUCCCCUUUUACCCUCCCCAAUGAGGCUUGAGGUCAUUUUUGAAGAGGAGGUGGGAAAUAUGUAUGAGACAUGGCCCGUGAAAUGUCAUUGUCUAAACUCAAUCUAUUCCUUGUAAUAUUAGCUCACAACAACUUUAAUUACUUAUUCUGGGGCUACACAACACCAGCCCCAUCAAAAAUUAGUCAAGAAAAGGAGGCUCAUGAGACUCUGAACUCUAACUCUGACCUAUGGGCUAUUGACAGGUUUGGAGAAGGAGUCAUUGUCUUUAGUUCUAUAUUUACUGAUGAGCCUCUAGUUUCCAAACCCAUGGAUGUACAGAUAACCCUGCUUAACCUCAAUGGGCCAAAAACCAAAGGGCUGUACAUGAAGAAGAGAAGUUUGUGGUUGGAAAGGGGGUAGGGUGAGAGCGAUCAGUGUGUAUUGAUAAAUAACUGAAAUUAUCAUCAAAAUUCAUUAGUUUUUAAAAGAGACACAUUACCAUAAGAAGAGGCAUGAGAUUUGGCUACCAAAUUCAAGGCUCCAUGAAGUAGAGUUCAAUAAAUGACAAAUCUUGGGGGAAAAAAGCAAAAGUAAAAACAAAACAAAAACACAAAACACAACAACAAAUACAACUUUCUGCUCUGACUAGUUUCCAAUUAUGUCAAAAGAAUCUUAGAAGAGGAAGAGCUGUGUUAAUAAUGUUUUUUUGUUGUUUUAAAUUUAGUCUUCAAUAGCCAUACUGGCUUUUCACAAUAUCAUCAUCUUUAAGGGGAGUCUUUCUGAUACUUACCUUCUACUAUAGUUCUCAAUGUGAGUUGUAUGCAUGCACUCCUAAAACCAGCUUUAUGACUUGAGGAUUUCCAGCCUUAGAUACAAGUUCCCUCCUAAAACCACCUUUAUGACUUGAGGAUUUCCAGCCUUAGAUACAAAAGUUAAUUGGGUACCUUUGUUCCUUAAUAAAGUGUUUUAUUACUUUAUGAAGUGUUUUAUUACUUUAAGGUUGACUAUGAACAUUUUACUAAUGCUAAUAUUUUAGUUUAGAACCAAAAAGUCCCUGCUAAUAUAGGGUAUAAAAUAAGAAGCACCGUUUGAAGCUAAAAUUUUCUACAUGCUGUGAUAUAAAUUUAAUUUUGUAUUUUAUAUUAGUUUUUUAAAAAUAUAUUAUUCUUGAUCUCAGUCCUUUUUCAUUUUAUAGUUACUAGUUUGUAAAAUUUAAAAUAAAAUAUUGACAGAGACAAGGCUAUUUUGUAGUUUCAUAGGAGUAAUAAUAAUUCUUUCUUAAUAAAUUG